UUAGUCCAAGAUUAUAGCUUCCGAGCAAUAAAGUUGGGUAGAGUUGGUCUUUCGACCAAUAGGAAAGCAUCUGAGUGCACGGGCAAAUCCAACAUGGCUGCCUGCUUGAAUUCCAAGUAGAAGAUUAAGAAAUUUAUUAAAUAAUGGACUUUAUUAGCGAGAAAAAAUGUCUAUGGGAUGUUAAAAGUCCCUUGUAUUGCAUGAAGAUUUAUAGAAUUUGGUUAAGGAGGGAGUAUUUUCAAGGAAUUGAUUAAUCAGCGAUUGCCGAAAGCAUGCAUACUCCUUGCAUACGCUGCUUGUCAAAGGAUGUAUAAGGAUAUAUGGCAGCUGACAUCAAGAAAUAAUGACACAAAGACAUGAAGAAAAGUGUGAAGAAUCGAUGCAUUAUAAUAUUCUGUAAAUACUGU